AUGGGAGAAAAGCGAUGAGAAGAUGUGAAGGACUCAUUGACUCACUGGUCCAUUAUGUCAGAGGAACCAUUGCAGAUUACCAGCCAGAUGACAAGGCCACGGAGAAUUGUGUGUGCAUUCUUCAUAACCUCUCCUACCAGCUGGAGGCAGAGCUCCCGGAGAAAUAUUCCCAGAAUAUCUAUAUUCAAAACCGGAAUAUCCAGACUGACAACAACAAAAGUAUUGGAUGUUUUGGCAGUCGAAGCAGGAAAGUAAAAGAGCAAUACCAGGACAUGCCGAUGCCAGAGGAAAAGAGCAACCCCAAGGGCGUGGAGUGGCUGUGGCACUCCAUCGUGAUAAGGAUGUAUCUGUCCUUGAUCGCCAAGAGUGUCCGCAACUACACACAGGAAGCAUCCUUAGGAGCUCUGCAGAACCUCACGGCCGGAAGUGGACCAGUGAGUAUUGGGCCUGAUUUCCUACUUUUUAAAAUAAUGAUAUUGUAGACAUACCUACAUUCGAUUCAGAGAUGAAACAGUGAGGGAAGGGAAAAACGUUUCUUAUUUUAGUCAAGACAAUUCUCAGAAAUUACAGAAGGUUUUGGUCUCAGCUUAUGCAAAGUCAAGUCAGGCUGCUAUUGGUCAGUACUCUUUCAGUUACAGAUCUCAGAAUCCUGCCUCAAGCUGGUUUAAGCAAAAAAGAGGAAAUUUUUGGCUUAUGGCACUGAAAAGUCCAGGGUGGGCCUUCUUUCUGUCAUGACUGGACUUAGGUGCACCAGUGAUUACAGUUGAUUUUCUUCAUCUCCGGGCUUGGUUUUCCUCUGCUGGUUUUGUUCUCAAAGGCUCUCUCCAUAGGGUAACAAAGACAGCCAUGAAUUAUUUCAGGCUCACGUUUUAUCAGCCCAAUGUGUCCUC
rnacentral:sRNA from 1 species